AGCGAACGCUGGCGGCAGGCCUAACACAUGCAAGUCGAACGAACUCUUCGGAGUUAGUGGCGGACGGGUGAGUAACACGUGGGAACGUGCCUUUUGGUUCGGAAUAACUCAGGGAAACUUGUGCUAAUACCGAAUGUGCCCUUCGGGGGAAAGAUUUAUCGCCAUUAGAGCGGCCCGCGUCUGAUUAGCUAGUUGGUGAGGUGACGGCUCACCAAGGUGACGAUCAGUAGCUGGUCUGAGAGGAUGACCAGCCACACUGGGACUGAGACGCGGCCCAGACUCCUACGGGAGGCAGCAGUGGGGAAUCUUGCGCAAUGGGCGAAAGCCUGACGCAGCCAUGCCGCGUGAAUGAUGAAGGUCUUAGGAUUGUAAAAUUCUUUCACCGGGGACGAUAAUGACGGUACCCGGAGAAGAAGCCCCGGCUAACUUCGUG
rnacentral:rRNA from 1 species